ACGAGUGGCGAACGGGUGAGUAACACGUGGGUGAUCUGCCCUGCACUCUGGGAUAAGCCUGGGAAACUGGGUCUAAUACCGGAUAUGAGCUCCUGUCGCAUGGCGGGGGUUGGAAAGGUUUACUGGUGCAGGAUGGGCCCGCGGCCUAUCAGCUUGUUGGUGGGGUAAUGGCCUACCAAGGCGACGACGGGUAGCCGGCCUGAGAGGGCGACCGGCCACACUGGGACUGAGACACGGCCCAGACUCCUACGGGAGGCAGCAGUGGGGAAUAUUGCACAAUGGGCGAAAGAGCCUGAUGCAGCGACGCCGCGUGAGGGAUGACGGCCUUCGGGUUGUAAACCUCUUUCAGCAGGGACGAAGCGAGAGUGACGGUACCUGCAGAAGAAGCACCGGCCAACUACGUGCCAGCAGCCGCGGUAAUACGUAGGGUGCGAGCGUUGUCCGGAAUUACUGGGCGUAAAGAGCUCGUAGGCGGUUUGUCGCGUCGUCCGUGAAAACUUGGGGCUCAACCCCAAGCUUGCGGGCGAUACGGGCAGACUUGAGUACUGCAGGGGAGACUGGAAUUCCUGGUGUAGCGGUGAAAUGCGCAGAUAUCAGGAGGAACACCGGUGGCGAAGGCGGGUCUCUGGGCAGUAACUGACGCUGAGGAGCGAAAGCGUGGGUAGCGAACAGGAUUAGAUACCCUGGUAGUCCACGCCGUAAACGGUGGGCGCUAGGUGUGGGUUUCCUUCCACGGGAUCCGUGCCGUAGCUAACGCAUUAAGCGCCCCGCCUGGGGAGUACCGCCGCNAGGCUAAAACUCAAAGGAAUUGACNGGGGGCCGCACAAGCGGCGGAGCAUGUGGAUUAAUUCGAUGCAACGCGAAUAACCUUACCUGGGUUUGACAUAUACCGGAAAGCCGUAGAGAUACGGCCCCCCUUGUGGUCGGUAUACAGGUGGUGCAUGGCUGUCGUCAGCUCGUGUCGUGAGAUGUUGGGUUAAGUCCCGCAACGAGCGCAACCCUUGUCCUGUGUUGCCAGCGCGUAAUGGCGGGGACUCGCAGGAGACUGCCGGGGUCAACUCGGAGGAAGGUGGGGACGACGUCAAGUCAUCAUGCCCCUUAUGUCCAGGGCUUCACACAUGCUACAAUGGCCGGUACAGAGGGCUGCGAUACCGUGAGGUGGAGCGAAUCCCUUAAAGCCGGUCUCAGUUCGGAUCGGGGUCUGCAACUCGACCCCGUGAAGUCGGAGUCGCUAGUAAUCGCAGAUCAGCAACGCUGCGGUGAAUACGUUCCCGGGCCUUGUACACACCGCCCGUCACGUCAUGAAAGUCGGUAACACCCGAAGCCGGUGGCCUAACCCUUGUGGAGGGAGCCGUCGAAGGUGGGAUCGGCGAUUGGGACGAAGUCCUAACAAGGUAGCCGUACCGGAAGGUGCGGCUGGAU
rnacentral:rRNA from 1 species